AAACAAACGCCAGACCCAAACCCUGACACUAUCACCAAUCCCUUCCUCUCUCAUCUCUCUCCCCCUUCUUCUCUUAAUCCUUGUUCAAACUAAUCCAAUCAUCCAGCUAUCUGGGUGAAUACCUCUCUCUCAUAUCUCCCAAACUGAAUUGGGGUUUCUUUCAGAUCUGAGGUGAAUCGACAAGAAAUUCUGGUUUUGCGUUUGGCUCCAAACUAAAUUGGGGUUUCUCAUCUCACCUACUUGGAUUCCGCCGAAGUGGACAUAGCCUUGCAGCGAUCAUCAUACACGGUAACCCUUUAUUCUUCGACAUUCAGUUCCUCGAUUUCUAGAGUUUCUCUAGUUUUCCAAUAUUGACCCUUUUUCCGGCUCUUGUGCUUCUUCUUCGGGAUCGGCUAUCCACAUCGUCUACACUGAGAGGCCGCAGCAAAAUGAUGAGGAGCCUGAGCUAUCACAUCCGAACUUUAGCCUCCGUCCUUGGCAGUGAAAAGGCUGCCAAGGCGGCUCUGGUUUACAGUUACAGGAUGGCUGCCAGUGGAUUCUCUGCUAAGCUCACUCAACCGGUCGCAAAAAAUCUCGAGGACUGGAGAAGAAUCUCAUCACAAAAUCAUUUACUCGUGCAUGUAUUUGCUUCACUUGCAGAUGAUGUAAAAUUUGACAACAUACCACAUGAGCAGAUGGCUUUAGUUCAACAAUUCAUUUGACCAGCUUUACUUAUUCAACCCUUUGCCGAAAGCAUGGAUAGAUGAAUGGCUGCAGUACGUUGUUGUGAUCAUGGAUCAUGGAUCAUGGCGCGGCAGAGAGAUCAUGGAUCUUUGGGAUCAGAUUUGCACAAAUCUUCGAACCAGUUACUAUCAAAGAGCUUGAUUACUACACAUAUCCAAUGAUCAACAAUAGACUCAUUGUGAUAUGAACUAUAAGCCUCCCUCUAUAAAGAUUGUCAGCAAUACAAACCAUAAAAACACAGGCAAAGUAUAUGGGCAAAGUUUCUUGAUGCGAGUUAGAAUCCGGUACCAUGGGAACGGAAGCUGAUGUUCCAGAAGCUAUACGUAUCGCGGGAGAUGCAUAUUAUGAAGAGCAAGUGGGAGUAGUGAUUCACCAAAUGUUUCAGCAGUUCCAUGUGCUUGGAGAAGGGAUGAGCUUGUUGCUAGCUUUACCUUCAACCCUUUGCUGAAAGCAUGGAUAAAUGAAUGACUUCAGUGGUGUGAUACUAAGUCUUACAGAUUUGAUUUUGUACUCGUCUUAUCUAGUUAAGUGUAAGAGAUAUAUGUAGUGGCAUCUGUUAGGGAUGAAAAUUUUAUGAAGUGUUUCUUUUACAUUCAGCUUCUUAUAUAUAUGAUAUGAGGGUAAU